UUUUUUCCCCAUAGGGCCGGGGUCCGGAGAUGCCAGGAAGCGGCAGGACCCGAAAUGCAGUGGGAAUAAUCCAACAGGUAAGACUUAAAGGAAACUGAGCUUUCCUUAUUCUUUUCUCCUCUCACCUUUGUUCUUGUCUUUUUUCCUCUAGGCGCCGGGCGUAGCUGAAUCCGGAAGAUCGCUGCUGAAGAUGGAACCGCCUUGCAAAGGUGAGUAAAAUGCAGCGCUGCAGCGAUCGAAACGAAAUGCCUUUAAAAUGAUGUCUUCCUUUUCAGGGCCGUUGGAGAAAUGACUCCAGGAUGCAGAUUUAGCAGGUAAGGGCUUUUCUUCUCCUAUUCUCUUCCUUUCUCCCUUGCAGGUGUUCCAGGGUGCUGGCAGCGUGGCUGAAGUCAGGAUGCAGGAGCUGACACGGUGAGCGUCCAGCUGCUAGGUGCAGAACAACGCGAAGCAUGUGUGGCUGUUCGGGUGGGGUUUAAAUAGCCUUGGAAGAAGUUCCUGGUAUGUAUCCUUCCACCAAUCAGGUAUGUAUCCUUCCCCGACCACACCCGGGUGGUGAAGUAGUCCUACAGGUUAAGUAGUCCCAUUCAGGCCUCAAGAGGGCCUGGAUGAAGCAGCAAGGUCUGCAUCAGGUAAGUGUUCACCCAAGCACUUAAACACAUAUCCUCUUCUAUGAGCCUGGCGCCUAAGGUGCCAGGACUGGGGUCCGCUAUGAGCCUGGCGCCUAAGGUGCCAGGACUGAGUCCAAAGGGCCCCGACUUGGGCCCGCUGAGACUUCCCUGGGGAAAAUGAUGUCUGCCUCUGGGGUUGCUGGGCCCGGCCUGGCUCCUUAGAGGUAGGCAUCAUGACACAUGGGGAUUAAGCUGCGAUGUGCAAGAGGGCUGCUGUGAUGCGCCUGGUAGACCGGGGCGAGUGCCAGUGUAGAGUCACUACAGGUGCAGGUCUUGGUGGUUGUGGCAAACAUUCAAAAGAGAAGUUUGAAGGCCAAUGUGGAGGAGGAUACCAUGUGAAUAUCUGAUGAACACGGGUCAGUCGUUCCUAAGAGAUGGGAGAGCCCUGUUCAUCAGGCAACACAAUGGCCUCUGUUCUCCUCAGCCAAUUGAAAGGGACACAGGUUCAGAUCCCCAAACCCAGAGCGGCAGAGAUGGGCACCCUUGCAGUGUCCAUUGCGGCAAUGCAAAUGUUCCCAGAGAAUCCGGGGAGUGUCCUGGGGAAAAAUCUAUUUUCUUUGUGACGGGCAGGGCACCCUGGAAUGUGUGUGCCUUGAAAAACAUUGCAGUUCCAGCAGCAUCUGGUGAUCUCUUGCUGGAAUGUGUGUGUGCCUUGAAAAACAUUGCAGUUCCAGCAGCAUCUGGUGAUUUCUUGCUGGUCCUUGUUAAUCCAGGGGAGAUGGUGUAAAUCUUGCACCGGACAACCCAUAAAUGCAGCAGGUCUCUAAAGCAAACAUCCUCUGGCAUGUUGGAACAAUGUAGGUAAGGGAAGCCGGCAAGUCAGAUCUGUAACUUCAGGAUGAGAAUUGGCUCUAAGCGCUGGUUGGGUAAGUCUGGUGCAUGAAGUGGGGCUGUAUGAUGCACCCUCCACACCACCCCAAAGGGUCCCCACAAACUCUUGAUGCAAGCUGGGCCCUUCCAGUGGAUGCCAACAAUAGCUGGGGUGGUCGCUUUUUUCUGCAUUUCUCUCCCAGGGCUCGGCUUAGAACUGGUGCAUACUAGGGGAAUCUGAUGAUUUCAUUAAAAAAGGCAUCACAAAGUCCCAUAGCAGAUGUUGAUACAUUGUGAUUUCUGACCAGUGCUCUGAAUGUCAAAGAGAUUCAGUGAUGCACGGUAAAAACAGCAGGAGUAACUAUGACUCUGUAAAGGUGGCCAAAUGUUUUGUCAUCUAAUUAGUGGCAAGCAUGAAUAGAUAAAUGGGAAUCCCACUGUCCAUUCCUACUAUCUAGUGAUACCACAGCCAAGGGAAUGGCUUGGUUGAAUCAGCAAGGGUAGGAGAUCCAGUUGAGCAUGACUCUAGUCAGGAACUGUGAAGAGACAUGUGAAGUGCAGGAUUAGUGGGUGGCCCUCGGGCCGGCAGUGAUAUACCACACUCGUUAUAAUUUAUUCAUUAACCCAGUGAGUUGGGUGGCAAUCUCAGUGGGGCUGUUGCUUAUGGCUAAAAGCACCCAGCUGUAAGCAGCCAUAACCCCCUCUGGGGACAUUGGAAAGUAGGGACAUAGACUGGGGCAGCGUACCUGUCAAAUGAUAAUGCAAGUGUCCUAAGGCAAGCUCAGGGAGGACAGAGACCUUCCGGAUAGCCAAAGGGCAAAAGUUUACCUGAAUCUCAAUUUUCAUUAUGAAUACAGUCUGUGAAAGUGUGACCUCAUGAUCCUUCUGACUUUUUUAAGCAGGAUGAGUCAUAAAAUUACCACAGGGGUACCUGUCUUGUGCUGGCCAAGUGUUCAUAGCUAUGUCACAUUUUGAUCCUUCUUCUCGGCUCCUUCCUAUCAUUGUGAAGCAAAAUUCACCAGACAUUGGAUUGUUCAACCCAUUAAUAGCGAACCUGAGCUGGGUUUAGACCAUCAUGUGACAGGUUAGAUUUACCAUACUGAUGAUGUGUUUUUGCAAUAGUAAUCCUGCUUAGUGUCAGAGGUACCACAGGUUCAGACAUUUGUUUAAUGUGCUUGACUGAGGAGCCAAUGGUGCAAGGCUGCCUUCUCUGGGAUUAUGACAGAAAGCCUCUAAAUCAGAAUACCCCCUAAACUGUAAUUUUACCGCAGCACUGUGGACCAUUGUUUGUCCUAAAAUAGCCAACCUCUGGAUUGGUGCAUAGAUCUGCUUGCCUUAGGACACGAUAGUGCACAGAAAGAGGCAACUUCUCUUGCCUGUAGU
rnacentral:rRNA from 1 species